ACAUUCCCUCGUUCAUAAAUUGGGAUUCAUGAAAAAAGGGAGGGUGCACAUGUGACGUAACGCUUUACGCGCGAGUAUCACUUUGCAAUACAUACCAUUUUGUCCAUGUUAGAUUUCCUUCUCACAUAAAUUAUGUGACAUAAUUGGGUGGAUCAGUAGUAAAUAAAAGCUUUUGAGUUUUUGACGUCAUAUAUGCACGAGCCGAAUCUACUAUUACGAUAAGACCGUGACUUGGAGGAUUGCCAGGAUGGUGUCAUACGCUCAAUCCUGUUACAUGUACGGGAUUUAAGUUAACUACUCGUCGUCCAAACUUGUCCAGAGUAUACUGAUGCAUAGCAUAGGUGCAUAGCAUGUACCAUCGAAAAUAGGUCCCAGUUAGGGUGCCAUAUGUAUACAUCAUUGUCAAUGCUACUUAAUAAAUAUGGAUGAUACUUUGUUCAUAGCUACGUAUCAGCAAGAACAAGAAAUAUUCUUCUACAUGCAUGGAAGUCAAUAAAUAUAAUUAACGUUACAUACAUAUAUUGGCAUAUACAGUAUGUACCGGCUUCUUCGUCACAAAAGCAAUGCCAGAAGAAAUUGAGGCUCCUGCCACGUCUUUCCAACAUAUGAGAUACGAGAAUGAGUAAUUAUCAUCGCAGCAAAAACUAAAUUCCGAAAACUUUUUGGUAAAUUAUUUACCACAUAUUUUGAAAUCUAUGCGUGUUCCUUAAUUUGCGAUUUACUUCCUUAAUUUGUGCAAAUUAAUAUCUCUAACUAUGAGAUGCCUGUAUCAAAACUAGCAUGUGAUACUUGUCUUGAGGAAGGGUGGGUGUAGGGGAUUGGGGGGGGGGGACGAGUCAGCCGUCUGUUUUGUGGUAGAUUUGCUGAGAAAAUUUAGAGCAGUAACUUCUAACCAUUGUAAGAGUAGUUAAGUUUGGGCACAAACUUAUAAAUCGUUUUAACACAAAAUACUAAUAUAUCAAAUUGUGAAACCUCAUCAAUAUUUAGACUUGAAUCGUUACAUCAACCUAAUUAACCUUUAUUCAAAUUGGGAUAUGAAGCACAAUAUUUGAACUUGAUUAUUAAUUGUUUUGAAAUUUAUAAAUUGCUAAUAGAAACGGAGUAAUUAUGUAUAAAAGGAUUAAGAAAAAAUAAUGCUAAGUGUAGAAUCAAGCCAGUAAUGUAUGUAGAAAUUAAUAAAAUUGCCAAUGUUAUAUUACGAAUAUAUUAGGAUUUGUGAAAUGGUUAUGUUUUUUUUAAUAAUCAUCAUCAGACUAUAAAUACGUUCUUACAAUUUACGUGUCCAAAAAAAUUAUCUGAUACUACAAAUAAAUAAUUGAAAUUACGACAAAA